GGAGAGAGAAAAGGCAGAGAGGCAGAGGACAUAACAAAGAAGAAGGAGAAAGAGGAGGAAAGGAAAGAAAAAUGGGUGAGGUAGCUGCCACAAUGACGAAGAAGAAGAAGAAGAAGGGACGUCCCUCUCUCUUAGACCUUCAAAAACGCUCUCUCAAGCAGCAGCAACAACAACAAAACCCUAAUUUCAAAAACCCUAAUUCCCUCAUUGCCUCAAACACAACCUCUCACCGCCGAUCCGCCCGCCGUAGGCCUAAUCUCGAUGAGCCAGACUGGAUUAACGGUGAUGAAGACGACGACGACGAAGACGAGCGCAAAGAGAAGAAACAUAAGCUUUUGCUUGGAUUGAAUUCCCAACAAAACAACAACAACAACGACGACAACAACAACAACCAUCAUUACCCGAUUUCCUCGGCGAAUUCCCUGGGUCCUAAUCCCUCAUACGUCUCUGAUGGUGCUAAUCCCGAGACGGCUCUCAAGAGGCGAAAGGUCAGUGCCGCCUCUAUCGGAUCUGAUGAUAUGGGUGAAAAGGGUCCGAAAGCGACAGACACUCUUCAUGAGUCUCCGCUGGAGCCUGGCCCCACAGCUCCGUUGCCAGACAAAAAGUUGUUGGUCUUCAUUCUUGAUAGGCUACAAAAAAAGGAUACUUAUGGAGUGUUUUCUGAGCCCGUGGAUCCUGAAGAGCUUCCUGAUUACCAUGAUAUCAUUGAGCAUCCCAUGGACUUUUCCACCUUAAGAAAAAAGCUAGAUGGGGGAGCUUAUGCCAACUUGGAACAAUUUGAGGUUGGUUUAAUAUGUAUUUUGCUAAUUUGAAUGUAUGAGGGUUGCCUUGAUUAUAAUCUGAGCCAGACUGUGGGAGCAUGGGAGGAAAAAACGACCUCAGAAGUACUUUAGUUUAUUUACCAUUUUAUAAUUCUAUUGAAUUUUAGCUCUUCUGAUUUCUAUGGAAGCUGUCCAAUGGGUUUGUGUUUUCCUCUCAUGAAUUUCUCACAGCCAUACAAAACGUUUGAAAAUAAAAGAGCUUAUUGUAUUGAGUUAAAUUUCUAGCUGAAUGGUAGGCACGUGAGAAGUGAGAGGCACUGUUUGAUAGUCCUGCAUAAUUUUCUUGAUUAAAGGUGUAAUAAAUCGCCUAUUUAUUACAGUAUUAGCUGUAGCAUUAACACCCUACCCCUGUUUAUAUCUUUUACAGCACAUCAAAAUUGUUGUCAUAAUGAGCUAGCGUUUUUUGAUUACUUUUGUUUGCUUUCUAAUUGAUUUACUGUUGGGAUUUUUGGUCUCUGUAGAUCCAUAGUGGUACUGCAGCAUAUCCAAAUUAUUAAUGUGCUGUCCUGUAGCCUGCCAAUUUUGUAAGAGACAUAAAAGGCAUCCAUACCAUUCUCCCCAAGUUCUCUUUCCUAAAAUAAAGAUCGAUGGGUGUUCUUAGUAUGAAAUAUGAAUUAGCUUAUAGCAGAAAGCUGACUUGGUUAUUUUUGCAUCAGACACUCCAUUAGUAGUUACCACUGGACAUUGGGUGAUAGAAUAAAGCAAAGACUUGGUAAGUGAAGGUUAGCAUCAGUCUUGUGCGAAAUGUGAGAAAUUGUGCAACCAAGACCAACUGCAUUUAGAACGAGCAUCUUGGUUGAGCUUGAGAUUGGGCCAUCAGGUAGAUAAGGCAAACUGGGCGAAAAGGGCUGCAGAUAUUGACUGUUGAAAUUUAAAGGCUAUGCUGAUAUAAGGAUGGGCAGGUGGUCCUUGUGGGAGCAAGCACGUAAAUGCAUAAAUGAUGGUUUAUUUUAUUCAUCAGCUAGAACAAGAAAUGUGCGGCUGAUAAUUAGUUUUAUGGUAUUAGCACAUGGUUGAAUGUUUUGAGUUCCAAAAUUAACCAACUAAAUGUGAAGAAGCAUGCAUUAGUAAUAUGGUACACUGCUAACCAUUAUGGUGAUAUUAGCUGGUUUUGUUCUUGAGUAUAUUAAAUUACUGUAUUCUUGGUUUGCUUUUUCUGAAAACAAAUAUUUGAUUAAUUAGAAAUUGAAAGUUGUGAUUUUUUUAUUUGCGCAGAAAGAUGUGUUUCUGAUAUGUUCAAAUGCAAUGCAGUAUAAUUCACCAGAUACUAUUUACUUUCGACAGGUUUGUCUGGCUACCAAAUUUCGUUUUUCUUUUUCAAAGGGUUCUAUUUGCCAUAUUUUUUAGUGUAGUGAUUCUUCUCUUAGGCACGAUCCAUGCAAGAGCUUGCAAGUAAGGACUUUGAAAACUUGAGACAAGAUAGUGAUGAUGGUGAACCCCAACCCAAAAUUGUGAGGAGAGGCAGACCACCUGGAAAGCUGAAAAAAUCUCUUGAGAGGUCUACCCUUGAUCGUGUUGGUCCUGAAUGUUCCUCAGAUGCAACUCUUGCCUCUGGAGGGGAUAAUCCCAACAGUUCUGCUGGUUACAAUCUCAGAAGAACCCAUUCAUACAAGUAUCAGCCUGCAGAUGUCCUGGUCAAAACCACUUUUGGGUCCCAUAACAGUGAAACGUAUUCUACCUGGAUGUCUGAAUGGGAAAAUGAAUUUCCAGCUUCUGUUUUGAAGGCUGUACUAAGGUGUGGGAAGAAACCAUUUGUGAUAGAUGAGAAUAGGCGAGACACUUAUAAGCAUCCAUCGGCUUCUACACAUGGACCAUCGUCUUUGAAUAUUUUCGAAGGAGAACUGAAGCAAUUGAUGACAGUAUGUUAAAAAGAAACUCUACUGCAUUGUUUUUGCUCUCCCGUUUGAAGCUGAUAUUUUGUGUAUUGUUUGGUUCUCUGUCAUGAUACGUAUUUCUCAACCAAUACUCUUUUUCUUGUUUAUUGGUUUCAAAUGAUACAUUAUAGAAUGUAGUGCUUGAUGCUAAAAUCAUAUUCUUAUGUACUAGGGGAUAGCGGUUGAAAAUUUUUUAGAAAAUCAAUUGCUUUGUAUGUUACUUUUUCUGGGGCAUCAUUAUGAUGGUUCAAUUGUAUAACAAGCACCUACAAUUACAAGAACCCAUUUUAUCCAAGUUAAUUGCUGUUUAUAUGUUGUCAAUGGCUUCAUGUACUUGUAACUUGGUUUUGGUUGUCUUUGAUAUAACAUCAGGUAGGUUUAAAUUCAGAGCAUGGUUAUGCAAGAAGUCUGGCACGUUUUGCUGCCGAUCUAGGGCCCAUUGCAUGGAAAAUUGCUUCAAAGAAAAUUGAAAGUGUGUUGCCAACAGGACUUGAAUUUGGUCCUGGGUGGGUAGGAGAAGAUAAGGCGGUUGAGCGACAGCAGCAGCUUUUAUUUUCUGAUAGGCGUAAAGUUUCAAACAGUUGGGUUGCUACUGAAAAUUUAGGCAGACUUCAAUCUUCAACUGCUAGUGGAACAAAUUCUGGUGCAAAUUCUUUAGUUGCAAGUAGAUGUACAGCAUGGAGUGGAGAAGACAUGGUGGAAACUGUUGGUGGAUUGAAUUCCCAAAGCGAGUUAAGUUCACUAAACAAUGGUAUUACUGGCAUGAACCCUGGGUAUUCUGUUGUGGUUCAACCAAAGCCUGUGAUUCAGUCUGAUUUAAAUGGUUUUAGUGGUGGGUUUGGGUAUAAUAAUUGUUCACCUCUACUGGGGACAGCAAGACUUGGGGUUGCAACAGGGAGGUCCAGUUCAGAGCACACAGCAGUUACUUCACAAGCAUUUGACAAGGUUUCAACUAGCAACACCAGUUUCUGCCCAAUGAGAGGGAAUGAUUUUAAGUUGAACAAAGCCAAGUUGUCAGAAACUUCAAGUGUAUUGUUACAGUCUGGAAAAUCAUCAGCUCUAGGUCCGAGCUCCGACUCUCAGGCACUACUCAAUGCAGGGAUUGAUGGAAAAUCAUUUCGGCAGUACAAUCAACAAGAUUUCUUUCAAUUUCCACCGGACCUGAAUGUUGGAUGCUUGGCACCAAAUUCACCUAGUUCCAGUGUGCCAAUUGGUUUACCACAGCAGCCAGAUUUAGCAUUGCAGCUAUGAAUUGAGGAUGGGCAAUUCAUCUUCCUUUACCGGUGGAGGGUAGAUUGUUAGGUUUGAACAUUUGUCCAGCAAAAGGAAUAAAUAAUAAAGUGGAGAGUCAUCUUUUGGAUUUGGGUGGCUUUCUGAGUAGCAUCUUGAUGAUCCAUAACAUGAGGAAUCAAUCUUAGGGGAAGAUUUUGUACAGCUUAAUGUAUCAAUUUUUUUAUUUGAAAAACCACAGUUUUAUAGAAUGCUAUAUUUGAAUGCCUAAUUUGCGCAAUGUUAUGUUUGGUAAAGAGUA
rnacentral:misc_RNA from 1 species